UGAUAACAGCAACUGAAUAAACAUAUGGCGACUUAUGAAUUUUACUGACAUUACAAGCAUGACACGGAACAACGAAGGACUUAUUCUUAACAAAAGAAAGACUCUAACUGGACAGAACACGAUGGACAACACGAUCAUUAGCAUGACCGAGACCUGCAUGCCAUGUGCUAAGUUCCACAAUGUGUGCUUCAGGCUUGAUAGGAUUCAAAGAAAGCGGCAUGGUGUAAAGGCCCCCAUUACUCCGGCCUGUGUAUAAGACCUGCCUCGUGGGGAUAUCCAGUGUGGGUAAUAGGGAAGGUAUUACCAUUUCCAACAAGAAUUUCGUCAGAGCCCUGAUAAGGAGUGAGAUUGGAAACAUUCCCCGUUUCAUUAGUGAGAUGAUGGUUAGCGCCAGAGUCAACUGUCUAUUGAGCCAUGGAAGGAUUGUUAG
rnacentral:misc_RNA from 1 species